GACGAACGCUGGCGGCGUGCCUAAUACAUGCAAGUCGAGCGCAGGAAACUGACGGAACUCUUCGGAGGGAAGGCAGUGGAAUGAACGGCGGACGGGUGAGUAACACGUAAGGAACCUGCCUCAAGGAUUGGGAUAACUCCGAGAAAUCGGAGCUAAUACCGGAUAGUUCAACGGACCGCAUGGUCCGCUGAUGAAAGGCGCUUCGGCGUCACCUUGAGAUGGCCUUGCGGUGCAUUAGCUAGUUGGUGGGGUAACAGCCCACCAAGGCGACGAUGCAUAACCGACCUGAAAGGAUAACCGGCCACACUGGCACUGAGACACGGGCCAGACUCCUACGGGAGGCAGCAGUGGGGAAUUUUGGACAAUGGGGGCAACCCUGAUCCAGCGACGCCGCGUGAAGGAUGAAGGUCUUCGGAUUGUAAACUUCUUUUAUAGGGGAUGAAUGUAUUGGUGAAUAGCCAAUAGUGACAGUACCCUGUGAAUAAGCCACGGCUAACUACGUGCCAGCCGCCGCAGUAA
rnacentral:rRNA from 1 species